rnacentral:rRNA from 1 species
GGGGAACCACCUCUUCCCAUAUCGAACAGAGAAGUUAAACCCGCCAGCGCCGAUGGUACUGCUGCAUAGUGGGAGAGUAGGUCGCCGCCUUAA